CUUUAUUCUACAUAAAGGUUGUUGUUACUUUGCUACUGUGAUCUUGAGAAGGACCCUGAGGGGGUCAAAACAUUGAUCAGAUACUCUGUCAAGGAUAGCCAAACAAAUACAGAGGAUGCAGCUGAAGAUCUACAAAAAUAGCAACUGCAAUAGUGUAAUUCAGUAUAAAGUGCAGCUAUGUGCGCUGAACGUAGUUACACACCACAGAAGGGAAACUUAUAUAAUCGCCUUAGGGUGCCUCCCCUUGGAAUGAUGGUGGACUGAUCUGGGACUCUUCUGGAUUUAUCACACCAAUAUGGAAGGCAGGAC